UACGUAGGUGGCAAGCGUUACUCGGAAUCACUAGGCGUAAAGCGCGGGUAGGCGGUUCGGUAAGUCUGUUGUGAAAGCUCCUGGCUCAACUGGGAGAGGUCAACGGAAACUACCGGGCUAGAGUGUGGUAGAGGAAACUGGAAUUCCCGGUGUAGCGGUGGAAUGCGUAGAUAUCGGGAGGAACACCUAUGGCGAAAGCAGGUUUCUGGACCAUCACUGACGCUGAUCUGCGAAAGCUAGGGGAGCAAACAGG
rnacentral:rRNA from 1 species